rnacentral:tRNA from 1 species
ACAGUGAUGGUUCAAUGGCAGAAUUCUCAUCUUCCAUGUGGGAGAUCUGGGUUUGAUUCCCAGCUAAUGCG